rnacentral:lncRNA from 1 species
ACCCCUAGCGGUAGGCGUGGCAAUCCAACUCGUGUUCGGCUCGAAAUGAGUCCGAGAUCGAAUCGCUCGUUUAGUAAACGAGCCGAAUACGAGUCGAAUUUUUCGGCUCAUUUAUUAAACGAGCCAAACACGAGUUGGGGUCAGCUCGCUCGUGUUCAGCUCGAUAACAGCUCAAAUACAUAUAUUUUAUAUUUAUAUAAUUUAUUUAAUUUAUAUUUAUAUAUAUAAAUAAAUAAUUAUAUAUAUAAUAUAUAUUUUUAUUAUUAAAUUUUUAGCAAAAUAAAAAUAUAAAGGCGAGCUCAAUUAUAAAAAAAACUCAUUUAUAUAUAAAGUUUCUAACUAUUAGAUUAAAAUCUGAUGGAUAAGAUUUUAUAAAUUUAUCUCUUACAUAUAUUCAAUCUAAUCCUUUUAACUUAUUAUUGUUCGUUGGCCAGCUCGUGGUCGGCCCGUUUAUUAACGAGCCAAACACGAAUUGAAUUUUUUGGCUCAAAACUUUAACGAGCUAGCUCGUGUUCAACUCGUUUAGUGACGAACGGACGGACACGAGCCGAUUCCAACUCGCUCGUGUUCGGCUCAUUUACACCCCUAUUCGGGAGUCUGUGGCUAUUUAUUUUUUAACAGAGAGCUUGUAAAAUAACCAUUUUAUUUCUAUAAAUAUAUCCAUCAAAAAGUCAUUUUUUCCUUACUCUUUUUCAUCUCUAUGAAAAAUUCGUGUGCCCUCGUCGUCUUUCUGGGCGGUGACGCGAUGGUGGGAUUUAUAAUAAAAAUCAAUAUAUAAGAGAUAAAAUAGUCUUUUUAUAUAUAAACUAAUUUAGAUUAGAUAUUUAAUUCAUGAUUAAUGAUAAUUUUUUAACAUAUGCUGACGGUAGGAAUAUCUAUAUCUAUACUACUUAUAAAAACGUGAGUUUUGAAUUUUUUCCUCUUUCCCAAAAUACCGGUCCCUAUUAAUAUAAUUCCAAUCAUAUACUAAUAAUAUCAUUCAUUCAACUUUAAUGGAAUAAAUUACAGUCGUACAAUUUUUAUUUUAUUUUUAAAUUAUCAUAAAAUAUAUUAAUUCUUAGUCAUUAGAUCUAAUCAAAUGACUGACGAAUUAAGUAUCUGUCACUUUUUUUAUCUAAAUUGUCCUCAAAUAGUACGUAUCAAAUUUUACUUUUUAUAUGCAUGUCAUAUCUUCUAAUAACCGCCGCCCACAUAAUAUCAUAUUUUAUAACAAAUAAUAUUCGCAUUUCUAAAUAUUUUAUUUUUCACACAAAAUAUUCGCCACCUAUAUAAUAUCCAAUCACAUAAUACCUCCCGCAUAUAUAAUAUUUAAUCAUAUUUUUUAAAAGGUGAAUAUAUAAAAAUUAUCUCAAUUUUACCUAUGAGAUAUUUUUUCAAUAAAAUAUAAUAUAUAAGUUUACAAUUUAAAAUUUUAAAUUUGUAGAUAAAUAUGAUUCACAAAUUGCUAUUGAUUUGAGAUAAUUAUUAAAAUAAUUGUUGACACAGACAAAACUUUUUUUAGUCGGAAAAAAUAUUGCAUUUCAUUUGCGAGAAUAGAAAGAAAUUUAUACUUAUCCAAAUUUUUGUCAACUGAAGGAUAUUUGCUGUAAAAUAUUUUUCACAAGCACCCUAUAAAAUAAUAUUCCAUACUUAUAAAAAAAAAUGAAAAUCUCUAUGCAACAAACAUUGAAAAUAUUUUGUAUCUACUAUCUCUCAAUUAGCUAAUUAAAAAAAAAAAGGUUUGAAAAAUAAAACGAUUUAAAUAAGCUUAUUAAAUCAACUUUAAAUUUUAAAUUUGGUUCAUAAUUUCAAAUGUGAAUUAAUAUUUUAAUUUAAAAUUUGAAAUUAAUUAAAAUUUUAAUAUUUUGGGUGUGUAAACAGUAUUUCAAAUUGAAAAUAAUUAAUUAAUUUGAAAAUAUAUCAAUUUUGAAAAAUAGAUGGGAUGAUAAAUAAAUUAAUGUCUUUAAUAAUUAUUUAUAUUGAAAUUAAGGAUUCAAAAUUAAUUUCAAAAUUUAAGUUUUAUUCAUAAAUUUAAAUCUGAAUUUAUUAAUUUAAAAUUUAGAAUUACUUCAAAUUUUUAAAAUUUGGAUACACAUUAAAAAAAAUUAAUGUUAGAAAAAAACUAACUGAUAAAUAAAUUUAUACCACCAAUAAUUACUUAAAUUUAAAAUAUUAAUAUAAAUUUAAUUUAAUUUAAUGUUAUGUGCAUUGCACGUGCACUAUAACUAGUUUUUAUAAACGACUGACUCUUUGUAGGAAUAAAUAUGAAAACGAAAACUUUGUAAGAAUAUAUCAGAAGAAAUAAUUUUUUACAGGAAAUUAUAUGUAAUUAUCCCUUAAAAGAAAAUUGCUAGGUUUUGAUCUUUUUAUGCAACAAUCGAUCAAUGGUUAGUAUACUCGGAAUCUAAACGCACACCUGGUCAGAUCACAUUAGGAGCUGAUUAUUUAAUUUAGGAAAAACUUCAAAUACCACUCUUGUGGUUUCAUACUUUUUUACUUUAGUAUUCUGUGGUUUAAAGUGUAUCAAUUUAGUGCCAUGUGGUUUCGCAGUUUCUCACUUUAGUAUUCUGUAGUUUAAAGUUCAUCAAUUUAGUAACUUCUGAUUUCAUUUUUCUCUUUUCGUCGGCUCUUCUGUUAAUAUUUUAUUAAAUUAUAUACAAAAAAAACUUCAGACACUCUACCUAGGUUUAUCAAAUAUUUAUUUUAGUACCCUUUAGUUUUAACUUUGUCACUGAUUUUUUUUUUCCUCCGUUAAUAUUUCGUUAAAUUAUAUACAAAAAAACUUCAGAUAUCCUACCUAGGUUUAUCGAAUAUUCACUUUAGUAUCCUUUAAUUUCAACUUUGUCACCGAUUUAACGAAAAAAAAUUAGUAAAAUGGAUAAUAAAAAGAAAAAAAAUAAAACCACAAGGUACUAACUUGAUACACUUUAAACCACAUGAUACUAAAGUGAGAAAGUGCGAAACCAUAAGGACUAACUUGAUACAUUUUAAACCAAAGAGUACUAAAGUGAGAAAGUGUGAAACCACAUAAAGGGUAUUUGAAGUUUACCUUUUAAUUUAUAACCUAAAAAUGAUCUAGUUGUCAAAUUCCCAUUCGUUUUGUUUCUAAUAAAGAGUAAUUGCUUUAGAGGGAAAAAAUUCAAAUUUUUGAAAAACUAUUGUUUCCUUUUUCAAAUUUCUUAUUUAAAAAAUAAAAGGUAAACUUCAAAUACCACCCUUAUGAUUUCGCACUUUCUCACUUAAGUACCCUGUGAUUUAAGGUGUAUCAACUUAGUACCUUACGAUUUUUUUUUUUUCUUUUCGUUAGCUACUUCGUUAAUAUUUCGUUAAAUUAUAUGCAAAAAAUUUCAGAUACUCACUUAGAUUUAUCGAAUAUUACUUUAGCACCCUUCAAUUUUAACUUUGUCAUUGAUUUAACGAAAAAAUAUUAGUAAAAUGAAUAAUAAAAAGAAAAAAAAUAAACCGCAUAGCACUAAAUUAAUAUACUUUAAAUCAUAGGGUACUAAAGUACGAAAGUGCGAAACCGAAGGACUGGUAUUUAAAAUUUUCUCAAAAAUAAAAAAAAAUAAAAAGUACUUUUAUAAUUUUUUGAAAAAUAAUUUUUUACACUUAUCCAAGAACCAAACAUUUCCUU